AUCAGUGGUGGUGUCGCGUGAGCCCUGUUUAAGUGGAAGAUCAACAUUUUUUUUCACCUAUGCUGACAUCCAGCCAGCCUCAGAGUCUCCUGUCUCAGCCCCCACACUGCUGAGAGAGCUCACCUGGUUAGUGUCACCGGGUGCUGGGAUCUGAACUCCUGGGCCUCACGGUUAUGCAACAAGUGCGCUUAACCACUGAGAAAUCUCUCCAAACCAGUAUUUUUAUUAAAUUAAAAACAUCUGGAUAUGC